rnacentral:piRNA from 1 species
CCUUAUGCUACGAGACCAUUAAGAAU